rnacentral:tRNA from 2 species
GUGGCUGUAGCUCAGCGGCAGAGCGUCUGUUUGUGGAACAGAAAGUGGUGGGUUCAACUCCCAUCAGCCACC